rnacentral:lncRNA from 1 species
CUAAGACAAGUAGCCAGAUACAAUUUUUUUUCUGUUCCAAGGCAAGAUUUUCCAAAAUUUUUUGCCAUCUACAUCUCUUUCUAAUCUAAGCCCAUAUAGAUUUUACCAAGUUACUUUGCUUCAAAUGACCUGGAAAAAUUGAGAAUUCAAGUUGUUCAUCUUAGACACUUACAAAG